CUUUACGUGAUGCUGGUGGGGGCGUAUCCUUUUGAAGACCAAGAAGAUCCCAAGAACUUUAGGAAGACAAUCCAGCGCAUCAUAGCUGUUCAAUAUAAAAUCCCAGACUGUGCUCACAUAUCUCAAGACUGUAGACAUCUUCUGUCUCGGAUCUUUGUUCCAAAUGCAUUGAGGGUGCGUGUAGCAAACACCUUUACCAUAUCGUAUACAAAACAAUCUCAGAACAUUUGUGUUUGUUUUUGCUGCAGAGUCCAUUUAAUAUAUAUUUUUCAAUCUUUGCUCCA